CGCGUAGGUGGUUCGUUAAGUCGGAUGUGAAAUCCCCGAGCUUAACUUGGGAAUUGCAUUCGAUACUGGUGAGCUAGAGUAUGGGAGAGGAUGGUAGAAUUCCAGGUGUAGCGGUGAAAUGCGUAGAGAUCUGGAGGAAUACCGAUGGCGAAGGCAGCCAUCUGGCCUAAUACUGACGCUGAGGUACGAAAGCAUGGGGAGCAAACAGGAUUAGAUACCCGAGUA
rnacentral:rRNA from 1 species